GAAAAACUUUAAAACUUAGCAGAGAGAAUAUUUUCUAUUUUAUUAUUUAUGCAAACAUACAUACUUUUGGACAUCUGUUUAUAAAACCUUUUUGCUUAAAAAGAAUUCAGAAAAGUUUGUUUUACCUAUCACACACUCGUCACGACUGAUCAGUGGUAAUUCUGAUCUUUACCAAUUAUUAAUUAAUUAACAUUGUUUUCAAAGGGCAUUUAGUCUUGGAUAGUACUAGAAAGCAUAUUUUUCAAAAGCAAAAGUAAUUUAGCCAAAUCAAUGCUGUUUCCCUCAUCAUUUUUUAAAAGUUCCAAAGACACACGAUAGUCUCGUGACUAGCACGAGCUCUUUAACCUGGAGAAAGUUCACGUGCAGGAAGGCAGCUUCGACAACUAUGUAAUCGGUUAAACAUCCAGGAUUGCAUGCACCAUUUCCAGUUGAUAUGAAUCUAAUUUGUGAAAUAAUCAAUAGUUUGGAAAAUCGGGGCUCCUUAGCUCGGUUGACACGCGACAGUUUACUGCACUCUUGUCCAUUCAGUUUCCCAUUUCUGUUCAAUCCAGACAUGGCUAUGAGUGUCGAGGAAAAGUUGUGGACACUUCAGCAAAAGCUCAAGGAAACAGAUGCUAAUUUGUCACUUUGUAUAGUUCUACUCCAACAGUACAUCAGGCAGGAGAAAUGUGAAACAAAUUCUUGCAUUUGAAUGAAAACCGGACAAUACAAUAACCGAAUGUACAUGUAAAUGAAGGAAAAAAAUAUUUGAAAAAUCUUGAUUUUGAACAAAGUUCAGAUGCCUUUGUUAACAGUUCCUGAAUAUGUUUGGUGAUUCCGCUUCAAAGUAGGAUGGACCCAAUUAAAAGGUAAAAUGAAUAGGAUACAUAAUUAAAAUUAAUAAAGGUUUAUUAAAAAAUAAAUACAUUUCAAAUUCGUGGUUAAAAUUUCAGAUUCUCAUCGUCAGGAAUCUUCCAAACUACCUAGUAAAGUAGAACGAUACUUACAAAACUUUUCAGCAACUUCAUUUAAUCGAGUGGCUCAAUGUUCCGAAAAAAUGCUUUCCCAUUAGCAACAUUAAGAAUUUUUGCUUGCCUUGUCAAUGGCACAUAGAACCCGCAUAUAUUUGCAUAAUACCCACAUUCAAUUCUUAGUACGUAGGCCUAUUUGCGCUUGCAUAAGACAUGAACCCUUGGACUAUCACGAAGCUACGGCCGAACGUUACGUGUAUCUACAAUCUUUCACCAUCUCAAGCGGAACCCGAGCGGUGUUUUUCGCAUAAAAAAUCGCCGCUUUUCUUCACCCUACCACCAUCGGUGGUGCAGAUAUAAGGUGGUUUCGGACUUCUUGGAACGUAUUGCACCAACUGAUCAUCUAGUGUUAUCUCGUACUUUGGCUUCCACAAACCAAAUACAUACAACAUGAAAACUUUGAUUGCCUUCUUCGCCCUUGUAGCUGUCGCUUUUGCCUAUCCAGGAGGUUUGGGCGGGCUUGGAGGCGGACAUGGGGGCGGCGACUACGCCACCCCCAUUAUCCACGGCCACCCUGUAGUUACCAAAGUGUUCGAAGGCCCUGGACUUGGUUACUUCACCAACUACGCCCCUAAGAUCGAUGGACCCUUAGUAGGAAGAGGAUUCGGACCCCACAUCUAUGGUGGAAAAGGCCAUUAAAACCCACCGCAUUGAAACAGUCACAGUGUGUUCUUCUCUAAUAGUUGUUUUUAAAUUAUUGUUGUUGUGAUGAUCUUAGGUUUAAUAAAUUAUUUAAUUUUUU